CUAAAGAUCUGUACUCUGGAUCCUACAUCUCAUACUUGAUUUUUUUUCGGCAUAAUUUUUGUAGGCCGGAUGAGUAUAAGAUGGCAUGAGAAAUUCAAGAGUUGAAUGAGAAGAGUGAAGAAGACUAGCAGCUCUAAGGAAUGCCUAUACGAACUCGCUAUGGCGAGGAUGACUCAAUGAAUGGACAUGUCGAUCAUGCUCAGAUCCCGGGUGGACUUCUCUCCAAUAGAGACUCCAGGUCAUUCUUGGACUGAAAGAAUUCCAGAUAGUGGCCAUGGUGGAUGGAUGAUAUGAGGUGAUCUGGGUGCUGCAUUCGAUGGCCAUGGUCUGUUUGCUGGAGGCCAACUCCCUGCUUUUGGCCUCUGAAGGUUGGGUAACUAUAACUGGACUGUAUCUGAAGACAUGGUUCAACACGUUUAGGCAUUUAUGAAUUCCAAAAUGUUUAUUGUUUGUUGAGCAUUGAAAUUUUUCUGUACAUAGUGCUUCAUGCCAAUAAGCGAUAAGGCAUCGUUUUUGCCAAUGUAUACAUAGAAAAGAAUGGAACUGUAGAUGUUUUUUGAAGGCAUCUAGCUACUUGGAUUGCGCAAAUCGACAAGUACUCCCACAGAUACAAUUAGAACUAGGUCUAUUCUUAAUUAAGCAGCGAGCUAGAUAACUUUUAAGAAUUUUCCCCACUUCAAAAUAAUAACCUUGAAGUUCAGAUCUUCUACUGAAACUCCUUUUCUAUCUAUGAACAUCAGGAGACAACCUCCAGUAAACCAUUCUAAUAGAAAUCUCAAUGUUCUUAGCCUGCAAGCUCUCAGUCAGCUAUAUUGUAUUCGCAACUCAGCGUAUUUUUUUUCUGAAGUUUGGUGCCUAACUCCCAGACAUCUUUUCCCAAGGGUAAGCAUGUAGAUGUUGACAACUUGACAUGAAUUUUAUGCUUGAUUAUUUUUGUUAUGUUAAUAGCUCUCUACUCUGUUCUUAACUGGGUAUCCUUGCUCCUUGGUCCCCUGUCAAUUGUACAGAAGGUAAUUUAUCAGAAUCUUACAGCCUCUUAGCUGCAUCUGAGCGUCUGAGGUUCCUUAAUUUCACCACUGAACAUGAAGCCAGUCAAGUCUGAAGUCUGAUACGAUUGUCCAGUAAUGCGUAGACGAUUGCCGUAUGAAUUCAGAAUUGAGAAAAUGAUGCACUAUCAAUUAAAUCAUUAUAACCAGUGUCAAUUUAAACCGAUUAAUGUGCUUACUUCCAUGAUGCUAAAAUAUAUACAAUCCCAAUGUUUUUUUAAAUUAAAUUAGCUAAUUGUUCUUAGUCUCUCUUUCAGAGACAACCCUUCUGAAUCACCUUUUAACAUUGCAACAUGAGAAGAGGAUUAAUGUUCGUUCAUCCUUUGUUGAAGACAUUGUGAUGGUGAAUACAGGUUUUUUAUGAUGCACUGUCCAAGGGGAGUCUUGUAAAGCUUCUGAAGUUGGUGAAGUUUGAUCACAUAUUUAUCGAGCCAGCAAGUAAAUCUCAUUAAUUAAUCUUAAGUUGUGUGAAGUUCUAAUGUCUAACAGACCCACUCACAGUAUAGGCCUUGCGAAGCUUGGUCUUGUUAUUAAAAUAUUUUGUUAUGAUGAAUGGGUCUGAAAGUAUGUGAAACUUGAUGCUGUGGUGCUGUGGUUGAUUGACUAGCAGGCCAUGAAACAUUUGAUGAAAGGAAGGUGGGUUGUCAAUGAAGCAGUAGAGCAAGUUGCUUAUGCAGACAAGAUUAUUUUGAACAAGCUAUUUAGUCGGUCUAUAGAACUAUAUACAAGGAUCUGGUGCCAAAAAAGGUGUUAUUUACGCACAUAUUUCUGUUGGGUUUUCUUAUGUACGAAAAUAACAUAAAACAUACCUCUAAACGCCGGUCGGCCGCUAGCACUACGACAGUCCGAAUGUGGUGAUCUUUUAGGAUAACUAAUUAACAGUGUUGUGAUUAGUUUUAUCAGGCAUGAAAGUGGUGGGUGCUAGCAAGGAGUUGAUGGGUUUAGCAGGACUUCCUUGCAAGAGCAGCAGAGCUGAGGCUGCAACUGGCCAAUAUGAACAGUAUUCAAGCAGGACGCGUUCAUGCAGUUGAGUUAUGUACAUUCAUAGAGGUGCUACUGACAAGCCUGGAUUUGAUUGGAGAAUCAUCCACUAGGAACAGUGUGCGGUCACAACAAUUGUGGACCAGGAAUGCAAGCCGGAUCCCCUCCGCAUGGGCUGUUGUUGCAAGGUCACGGUGCUGCACCUCAACUAAUUCAGUAGGAUCAUCGCUACUUCAUCUGUUCGUUCUCAUCUAACUAAUAUAUUUAAUAUCUAUUUGUAUUUUUGGCUAAUUCUUAUUUUAAUCUUUUGUGGCUUUGCGGUGAAGGCAAAAUGAAUUUAAAAGAGUUCAAUUUAGAGUUAGUGUAGUGCCUUCCCGGCAAGAAGAGAAAAUAUAUAAUUAGUGCAGUGUUUCACACCUACUGGACUCAGUCUAUUAUGAUAUACAUGUAUGUUGCAGAGAAAUGGUCACAUGGAUGAUUAGCAUCUUUUGGCAAAGGUGAAUAAAUACUACUGCACCUAUGACUAUGAGCAUAGAUCUCCCCUCUUAAUUUUUGAGGACCACUUCAGGAUGUGAUCAUGAUUGUUGUUUCACAAGUUUGACUGUUACUAAUCUGAAAGUCGAGCCUAAGUAAUGUUAAGUGGACUUCAUGGAAUAUCAAUAAGGAAAUUGCAUAAUUUGAUAUACUAUGUUAAUUAAUUAUUAUUUUUCUCCUGUUGCAACGCACGAGCAUGUUUGCAAAUAUAUAUAUUAUUUAUUUAUUUAUUUUAUUAAUAAUAAAGAGGCUAUUGCUUCUGCCCUGGUAUUUUAGGUAUUCAAACGCGCAGUCCUCCUAAAAA